GACGAACGCUGGCGGCGUGCUUAACACAUGCAAGUCGAGCGGAAAGGCCCUUUCGGGGGUACUCGAGCGGCGAACGGGUGAGUAACACGUGAGUAAUCUGCCCUGUGCUUCGGGAUAGCCACCGGAAACGGUGAUUAAUACCGGAUAUGAUAUGCUCCUGCAUGGGGGGGUGUGGAAAGUUUUUUCGGCGCAGGAUGUGCUCGCGGCCUAUCAGCUUGUUGGUGGGGUAAUGGCCUACCAAGGCUUCGACGGGUAGCCGGCCUGAGAGGGUGACCGGCCACACUGGGACUGAGACACGGCCCAGACUCCUACGGGAGGCAGCAGUGGGGAAUAUUGGACAAUGGGCGGAAGCCUGAUCCAGCAACGCCGCGUGAGGGAUGACGGCCUUCGGGUUGUAAACCUCUUUCAGCACCGACGAAGCGAGAGUGACGGUAGGUGCAGAAGAAGGACCGGCCAACUACGUGCCAGCCGCCGCAGUAAUAC
rnacentral:rRNA from 1 species